CUGAUCGCGCCGGGGCAGGCGGCCGCCAGGAGGAGAAGGAGGGAGAAGGGCCCAGCUCGCCCCCCACCACUCCGACAGCCCCCCCGGUUCGCCCCCUCCCUCCCCAGCCGCCGCAGCGGCCAUCUUCGCAGCCUCGCCCUCCGCAGCGCAACGUGCGCUCCGGGCGGAGCAUGCGGGGGGCGGAGGAGCCGCAGAUCGCGGAGGAUAUGUCAGAAGAAGACAGAGUCCUGGAAGGCCUGGAGGAGUUUUAUCCGGAGGAGCCGGUGAACAUCCAGAAGAAGAAGAAGAAGGCAACCAAGAAGCCGAAGGAGAACAAGGCAUCCAAAGUCAAGCGGAAGAAGAAGGAGGGGAGCCACAAUGAUGAAAUCUCUGAAAAUGAGGAGCGGCCGGGAGAAAAAUCGGAGAGUGAGGGCAGUGACUAUUCCCCGAACAAAAAGAAGAAGAAGAAGCUGAAAGAGAAAAAGGAGAAAAAACUGAAGCACAAAAGGAAAGAUGGCAAUGAGGAGGAGAAUGAAGAAGGAGGCCUGAAGCAGCCGCCUCCUGAACGGCAUGGAUACAAAGACGACUACAGCCAGGAGCCCAAGACCUCGGCCCAACUCAUGGAAGAGUGGGGGUUGGAUGAUGUGGACUAUGCUUUUUCCAAAGAAGACUAUCACAUGCUGACGAAUUACAAGGCUUUCAGCCAGUUUCUUAGGCCUCUAGUUGCCAAAAGGAACCCCAAAAUCCCAAUGUCCAAGAUGAUGACUGUUCUGGGGGCCAAGUGGCGGGAGUUCAGCGCCAACAAUCCUUUCAAAGGCAGUUCAGCAGCUGCUGCCGCUGCCGCCAUAGCUGCGGCUGUGGAAACUGUUGCUGUUGCCCCGGCCCCGCUGACCGCCAGCCCCCAGCAACUGCUGCCGCCGCCACCUGCCAUCAGGAAAGCCAAAACCAAGGAAGGAAAGGGUCCCGGUGUGCGGAAGAAAAUUAAGAACACCAAAGACAUCAAGAAGAAGGGGAAAGGGAAGAAGGCAGGGGCUCUGAAAUUCCGCUUCGGAGGAAUUGCCAGCAAGAGGAAAAAGGUCUCCUCGAGCGAGGAGGAAGAACGGGAGGAAUCUGACCUGGACAGCGCCAGCAUCAACAGCUCCUCCGUACGCUCCGAGUCCUCGGCCGGCCUGGGGAAGAGGGGCAAGAGGCGGAAGAAGAAGAAGAGAAUUGAAGAAGGCGAUGGAUACGAGACGGACCACCAAGAUUACUGUGAGGUGUGCCAGCAGGGAGGGGAAAUAAUUCUCUGCGACACAUGUCCCCGGGCCUACCACCUUGUCUGUUUGGACCCAGAGCUGGAGAAGGCACCGGAGGGCAAAUGGAGCUGCCCACACUGCGAGAAGGAAGGCAUCCAGUGGGAGCCAAAGGAUGAGGAAGAUGAGGAAGAAGAGGGUGGUGAGGAAGAGGAUGAUCACAUGGAAUUCUGCCGCGUCUGUAAGGAUGGAGGAGAGCUUCUUUGCUGCGACACCUGUCCCUCCUCCUAUCACCUGUACUGCCUCAACCCACCGCUGCCAGAGAUACCAAAUGGUGAAUGGCUCUGCCCUCGUUGUACAUGCCCGCCGUUAAAAGGGAAAGUUCAGCAGAUCCUCCACUGGAUCUGGAAGGAGCCUUCAGCCCUGCUUGCAUCAGCCUUGUCCUCAGCAGAUCCUGAGUUGGUGCUCCCUCCACCAAAGCCCCUGGGGGGGAUCCCCGAGAGAGAAUUCUUUGUGAAAUGGGCAGGGCUCUCUUACUGGCACUGCUCUUGGGUCAAGGAACUGCAGCUGGAGCUCUACCACACUGUGAUGUACCGCAAUUACCAAAGAAAGAAUGAUAUGGACGACCCACCAGCUUUUGACUAUGGCUCUGGUGACGAGGACAGCAAGAUUGAGAAGCGGAAGAACAAAGACCCCGAGUACGCCAAGAUGGAGGAGAUGUAUUAUCGCUAUGGUAUCAAGCCUGAAUGGAUGAUGAUUCACCGUAUACUCAACCACAGCUUUGACAAGAAGGGAGAUGUUCAUUACCUGAUCAAGUGGAAGGACUUGCCAUAUGACCAGUGCACCUGGGAGGUGGAUGAGAUUGACAUUCCUUACUACGAGAAUUUCAAGCAGCAAUACUGGAAUCACAGGGAGAGGAUGCUGGGAGAAGAGGGCAGCCAGGCCUCCAAGAGGCUGAUCAAGAAAGGGAAGAAGCUGGAAAGGCCUCCGGAAUCACCCCUUGUGGAUCCUACAGUGAAAUUUGACACGCAGCCGUGGUAUAUUGAUGCCACUGGUGGGACCCUACAUCCUUACCAGCUGGAGGGUCUCAACUGGCUGCGGUUUUCCUGGGCGCAGGGAACAGACACCAUCCUCGCUGAUGAGAUGGGCCUAGGCAAGACUGUCCAAACCAUUGUGUUUCUUUACUCCCUUUACAAAGAGGGCCACUCCAAAGGCCCAUAUCUGGUCAGUGCUCCCCUCUCCACCAUCAUCAACUGGGAACGGGAGUUUGAGCUGUGGGCGCCCGACUUCUACGUGGUCACGUACACGGGGGAUAAGGAAAGCCGGUCCGUGAUCCGUGAGAAUGAGUUCUCCUUUGAGGACAACGCCAUCCGGAGCGGAAAGAAAGUUUUUCGGAUGAAGAAAGAAGCUCAGAUCAAGUUCCAUGUCCUGCUGACAUCCUAUGAGCUCAUCACAAUCGACCAGGCCAUUCUGGGAUCCAUCGAGUGGGCAUGCCUGGUGGUGGAUGAAGCCCACAGGCUGAAAAACAACCAGUCCAAAUUCUUUAGGAUGCUCAACAGCUACAAAAUUGACUAUAAGCUGCUACUGACUGGGACACCUCUCCAGAACAACCUUGAGGAGCUUUUCCAUCUGCUCAACUUCCUCACGCCGGAGAGGUUCAACAACCUGGAGGGGUUCCUGGAAGAGUUUGCUGACAUCUCCAAGGAAGACCAGAUUAAAAAGCUGCACGAUCUUUUGGGACCUCACAUGCUGAGGAGGCUGAAGGCCGACGUGUUCAAGAACAUGCCGGCCAAGACAGAGCUGAUUGUGAGGGUGGAACUCAGCCAGAUGCAGAAGAAGUAUUACAAGUUAAUCCUGACGAGGAACUUCGAGGCUCUGAAUUCGAAAGGGGGUGGCAACCAGGUCUCCCUGCUCAAUAUCAUGAUGGACCUCAAGAAGUGUUGUAACCAUCCAUAUCUUUUCCCUGUGGCAGCCGUGGAAGCCCCAGUAUUGCCAAACGGAUCCUAUGAUGGCAGCUCGCUGGUGAAGUCGUCCGGGAAGCUGAUGUUGCUGCAGAAGAUGCUGAAGAAGUUGCAUGUCGGGGGCCAUCGGGUGCUCAUCUUCUCCCAGAUGACAAAAAUGCUGGACUUGUUGGAGGAUUUCUUGGAAUACGAGGGCUAUAAAUAUGAGCGGAUUGAUGGUGGGAUUACUGGAGGACUGAGGCAGGAAGCCAUCGACAGGUUUAAUGCUCCUGGAGCCCAGCAAUUCUGUUUCCUGCUCUCCACCCGAGCCGGCGGUUUGGGCAUAAACCUUGCAACGGCAGACACAGUCAUAAUUUACGAUUCUGACUGGAAUCCCCACAAUGACAUCCAGGCGUUCAGCCGAGCCCAUCGGAUUGGGCAGAAUAAGAAGGUGAUGAUCUAUCGCUUUGUGACGAGGGCCUCUGUUGAGGAACGCAUCACCCAGGUGGCCAAGAGGAAGAUGAUGUUGACGCAUUUGGUGGUGCGCCCGGGCCUUGGCUCCAAGUCGGGCUCCAUGACGAAGCAAGAGCUGGAUGACAUCCUGAAGUUUGGAACAGAGGAACUCUUCAAGGACGAUGUUGAGGGGAUGAUCUCUCAGGGCCAGCGGAUUGGCAUGCCUGAGGUGGUGGCCCCUUUCACAGAGGCACCGGCCUCCAAAGGGGGGACAGUGACUCCCACCGUGAAGAAGAAACACGGCACCACUCCACCAGGUGACAAUAAGGAUGUCGAAGACAGCAGCGUGAUCCAUUAUGACGACGCGGCCAUCUCGAAGCUCCUUGACCGGAACCAGCAUGCCACCGACGACACGGAGCUGCAGAACAUGAACGAGUAUCUCAGCUCUUUUAAAGUGGCUCAGUAUGUUGUGAGAGAAGAGGAUGGUGUGGAGGAGGUUGAACGUGAAAUCAUCAAGCAGGAGGAGAAUGUGGACCCUGACUACUGGGAGAAGCUUCUGAGGCACCACUAUGAACAACAGCAAGAGGACCUGGCCCGCAACCUGGGGAAAGGGAAGAGAGUCCGUAAGCAGGUCAACUACAAUGAUGCAUCACAGGAGGACCAAGAGUGGCAGGAUGAGCUGUCAGACAAUCAGUCUGAGUACUCCAUCGGCUCUGAAGAUGAGGAUGAAGACUUUGAGGAGCGGCCGGAAGGUCAGAGUGGUCGGAGGCAGUCCCGCAGGCAGCUGAAGAGUGACAGGGACAAGCCCCUCCCACCAUUAUUGGCGAGAGUCGGCGGGAACAUUGAGGUGUUGGGCUUUAACGCCCGUCAGCGGAAAGCAUUCUUGAAUGCCAUUAUGCGCUGGGGGAUGCCACCUCAGGAUGCCUUCAACUCCCACUGGCUUGUGCGGGAUCUCCGUGGGAAAAGUGAAAAGGAGUUCAGAGCGUACGUUUCUCUCUUCAUGAGGCAUUUAUGUGAGCCUGGGGCGGAUGGUGCUGAGACCUUUGCUGAUGGCGUCCCCCGCGAGGGGUUGUCCCGCCAGCAUGUGCUGACGCGCAUUGGAGUGAUGUCACUCGUAAGGAAGAAGGUUCAGGAGUUCGAACCCGUCAAUGGGAAAUGCAGCACCCCUGACCUCAUCCCAGAAGGCCUGGAGAGCAAAAAAUGCAGCGAGGUUCUGUCUUCGGACCCAAAUACGCCUGUCCCGGCCAGCCCGGCUCAUGGGCAGGUGGGACCUACGUCACAACCAGACAAAGUGGACGCACAGCCAGGGAUCCCCGAGGAGAAGGAACAAUUGGAACAGAGGACAAAAAAGUCACGGGAUAACCAGGUGCCGGGUAGCGGAGAGAAGACAGAGAAUGAUGACAAGGAGGAGAUUGCGGAGAUCCAAGCGAAAUCUGGAGAAAACAGUGUUGAAGAGGGCGAGAAAGCAGAGCUUCUCACUGAGCAGCCAGUUAAAGCUCUUAUAGAUGAGGCCUCCCAGGAGAAUGAAAAGCCAGCGGAAAAGCCAGAAUUAAAUGCUAGCCCCUAUGAAGGAAUCAGUAAAGAAUCCAAGUCAGAUGACACCAAGGGGGAAGAGAAGGAGCCAGUGGAGGUUCAGCAAAAUGGUGAAAAGGAGGAUGAAGAGGAUGGGAAGAAGGACGAGAAGAGCGGGAUCCGAUUCAUGUUCAACAUCGCUGACGGGGGCUUCACAGAGUUGCACACGCUGUGGCAGAAUGAAGAGAGGGCGGCUGUCUCCUCGGGGAAGAUUUACGACAUCUGGCACCGGAGGCACGAUUACUGGCUCCUAGCAGGAAUCGUCACUCAUGGCUACGCCCGCUGGCAAGACAUACAGAAUGACCCACAUUAUGUCAUCCUCAAUGAGCCCUUCAAGUCAGAGAUCCACAAGGGCAACUACCUGGAAAUGAAGAAUAAGUUCCUGGCACGGCGGUUCAAGUUGCUGGAGCAGGCCUUGGUGAUCGAGGAGCAGCUUCGCAGGGCUGCAUACCUCAACAUGACCCAGGACCCAAACCACCCGGCCAUGGCCUUGAACGCCCGCUUGGCUGAAGUGGAGUGCCUUGCUGAGAGCCACCAGCAUCUCUCCAAAGAAUCCCUCGCUGGGAAUAAGCCUGCCAACGCCGUCCUUCAUAAAGUCCUGAACCAGCUGGAAGAGCUGCUGAGUGACAUGAAGGCUGACGUGACUCGAUUGCCCUCCAUGCUGUCCCGUAUUCCACCAGUGGCUGCUCGCCUGCAAAUGUCUGAGAGAAGCAUCCUAAGUCGUCUGACAAACCGGGGGAGCGACCCCACUGUCCAGCAGGCCUCUUUUGGCUCCUCCCAGAUUUACAGCAACAACUUUGGUCCAAACUUUCGCGGUCCAGGACCAGGUGGGAUUGUUAACUACAGCCAGAUGCCCCUUGGACCUUAUGUGACAGAUAUUUAGCCGUUUUCGAGAGUUUCCUCUGCAGUUCUCAUUGCUACGAGAGUUUUUAUCCUGUUUUAGUUCUCCAAGAAGAUUGAGAAGGGGGCUUGAAAUGGUUCUUCCCUCCCAAUUAUCCUCACAACAGCCCUGCCAGCGACUCCCAACAGACUGCCCCUGAGCCACUCGGAUAAAAAGGUGCCCGACGUCCUGAAAGAUGGUGUACCCUUGGGACGGCAUCAUGACAUCAUCUGCAUUGAAGAUUAAAGGCUAGUCUUGGUGGCUCUGGGCUUGCCAUGUUCAUAUCUAAAAGUGUUCUAAACUAGGACACACACCCCACCUCAAGGCCAUUUCACAAACUUCUUCGAGACAGUGGAAUUUCACUUCCUUGGUUUUUCUUUUGCACUUUCUUACUGAAGACUUGAAGAAUUUGUUGGCUGGAUUACAAAAGGAUUAUUGAGUUUUUACCCUGGACUUCGUGCUCCAUUCAUACACACAUGUACACAACUGGAGGGGAGACAGGGAGUGGGUGCCAUGGUGCCAUUUUUCCCCUGGGAUGUGAGACAGUCACCAGCCAAGUACAGUGCCUCGCCUAUGUCUGUUCAGCCUGUGCUUGGGAAAGGUACAUGUUGACUCUUCAGUGAACAGGCCAGGUUGGGUUGGAUGUGUGUGUGUGUGUUUGUGUGUGAGGGGGAGGAGGCUCUGAGGCAUGUGUUCAAGACUGGAUAUGAAUCCCCCAUUUGACUGAAAAUGCCUGCUGAGGUUCAAAAAGGAAAUAAGGAAACAGGGCCUCUGUCCAGCCAACGACUGGUUUCCUUGGGAGCUAAUAACCGUGUUAACUCUCUGUCCCAUUGAAGUCAAUGGACAUUCAGUGCUUAAUGGCGUCUGGAUUGUGGUCAUGGUGCAAGGAGUUGAGGGUUUUGUGAGGGCAAAGAAAUGUCAUUUUCAAUAGGCCCCAGUAACUAUAUGAAAAGAUAUAUGAAAGCACCAGACAUGGAGUUAUCAAGGCCCAUUUCACACGUGUGCAUUGGUUGAUUUCUCUCUGCUCGGCGGUAGGUAGAUGUGAAAACUGACUGCACCAAAAAUAAUGGCUUUUGCGGUGCUACAAAAAUCUUUGGGAUUUAUAACUGCGACUGCACAUGCCCAAGAGAUGCCAGAUAACCAUCACAACCUGGCCUGCUAUCAGGAGAUGAAUGUGUAUGUGUAAACCAGCUUUGAGUGUACGUUCAUCAAGCUUAGAGGACUGCAUUAAUGCACAUGGAGUUGUGUGAACCACACGAUGCUAAGUCCACAUAACUUUUCCAGAAUGUAAUCCAGAAGGAGACUCCCAGCUUGGAGUUUCUCCACAUCUGUAUGGUAGGGCAAUUGGUUCUAAAGGUUUGGAUUCCAACCUUUUUUUUAACCUGGGGGAACAGUGCGAUGUCAGUACACAUGUGCCCCUGUCUGAGUCCCAGAAAUCUAUCUUGAUCCCUGGGAAUGCCCACUGCCAAAUACAUGUGGUUGCCCAAACAAGGGGCCCAGGGUUCCAGGUAGACAGGGAGGCAAAGCAAGGCAGGGUCAGCACCUUGGAGAGGGAUCCAGGUGUGGGUUUCAGGACCAUGGUUAGUGAUUCUGCAGCCAAGGUAGAGCAUAGAAGUUGUCUAGGAGCAACUGACAGAUCUUUACCAUCAGUAUUCAUUGACUACAAGCCCCACCCUCUGAAUUCUGUAUCUGGCCAAUUAAAGGUCCAGUGCCUUCCUCUGUUGGCUUCUUCCAGGGCCCCGGGGUUUCAGUCUGUAGGGAUACCACCUCCUCCUCCUCAGGGAUCUCCUGAUCAUCAGAGUUUGGUGGCAGUGGUGCCCCCUCAAGGUUCAGAUGAAGAGAGGUGAGCUCUGGUGCCUGUGGUUCCACAUGGUAUGAAUCAGGGAGUGGAUGAGUAUCCUCCUUGGGGCUACCACCAGAGGAGGACUCUGUCUUUGAAGAUCCCUAUUCUGGGCCCAUGCCAAAACCAGUGUUUCCCCGACAAGGGCAGCCCAACAAGUGUAUAUAUUUUUGAUGGGUCAUGUGAGUAUCGCAGGCACCUAAUGGAUGGUCCUGGGAUGGUCACAGUUGGAUGUGCCUCAAGUUCCUGCCCUGGCUCUUUUGAAUACCCAUCAUUAUUUAGGAUGCUUUCCUGCUGUUUACUUUUCCCCUACACUAUUCAGUGAAGGUUGUGCACUCAACUUUUACAGCACAUGAGCGUAUACUCCCAAUUAUUUUUUAAUUGUCUGACCAAAUGAAUUGAGGCUAGCAACAAAAGCUCAUCCUGCUCACUUCUCAAGUGAGAAUGGGGAUUUAGUUCCUUAUGGUUCUCCAGUGCAAUGCCAUGACAGAGAGAGGCAUAAGAUGCUGCGUGGAGAGGCCUGCAAAGGCCUCCUGUGAGCAGCUCAGGAUGCCAUAUUAAAUUUCCAGAUCCCGAGACAUUUUGAAGCACCUUUUCAACAUUAUCAAUCCCUGCAAAUGUGGGGAUUCAGCCUCCCCUGGACCAUUGUUAAUCCCUACCAUUGUGGGCAUCCUCUUUCCUGUAGGAAGAACCAUUGGAGAGAGCAGAAGCUGUCCAGAAGUGUUCACUGUGACAUCUUCAGUGUGCCCAAAUAAAUUCUGUAACUAAAGCCAGCGCUGUGGGAAACUGGAGCCUGGGGUGACUCUCGAAACUACUUCAUUGGGACAGAUUGAACUUGUGUAGAGCGGGGGGGGGGGAGGAGUACCUGUGCCUCUCCAGGUGUUGUUGGGCUAUAACUCCCAUCACCCCUGACUAUUGGCCAUACUGGAUGGCUGGGCCAAGGAGAGUUUGAGACCAACAACAUCUAGAGGGCCACAGGCUCCCCAUCCCUGGGGUAGGGGUUGGCCAGAAUGGAAAGAUUCUGCUUCCCUUUGUCCUCGCCACAGUAUUGCAGCCUUGCCAAAUAGCGGUUAAUAUUGUGGUUUUACGCUCUGUGCCAUUGAUUGAUUUGGAUCUUGGAGGAGCAUGCAAAUAGACAAAGAGACCCUUUCUGGGGCCUGCCUCUGAGCUGGUCAUGGGUAAGGUUCACAACCAGACAGUAUUUUAUUGGUAUAUGAUUGAAUAAUCAGAUUGUCAGGGAAUCAGUUUUUCACUCUGAAAAGCCAGUGAGCUUUUGAUUCUGUUAGGCUCAGCCCAAGAGUUGCCUGCACUGGUUCCACCCCAACUCCCCAGUUCCUGGGUGGCACGGCUGUUCUCCUGUGGCUCUGCCAAAGGUGUCAGUGCCAACUCACGUUUAAGGAGCCCUCUCCCUUCCUCCCCCUCCAUUGUAAGAAAAACCUGAGUAGAAAGUAUGAGAUGUAACCAGCUAAAUCUCAUCCAUACUGAUGGACCUAAGUUAGUGAUAGAAUAGUAGAGUUGGAAGGGGCCUGUAAGGCCAUCCAGUCCAACUCCUUGUUCAAUGCAGGAAUCCAAAUGAAAGCAUCCCUGACAGCUGCCUCUUGAAGGCCUCCAGUAUCAGAGAGCCCACCACCUCCCAAGGUCAUUGGUCCCAUUGUCAUGUUGCUCUAACAGUUAGGAAGUUUUUCUUGAUGUUCAGCUGAAAUCCGGCUUCCUGCAACUUGAGCCCAUUAUUUCAUUUCCUGCACCCUGGGACAAUCGAGAAGAGAUCCUGGCCCUCCUCUGAGUGACAACCUUUCAAGGACUUAAUGUCCAGGGUUUACAAAAAAACUAGGCGUUGAAGCAGUUGAAGAGAGUAGGACUAGCCCUGAAUACAACCCUUGUGACAUAAAUGUGGGCGAGACCAGUUCAUCUUCUCUUUUAAGCUACUUUGUCAUAUUGAUGCUUGGCUUUGAUUUCUGUGAUACCAGCAACUGGGACAGCAAAGCAGUGCUCUUUUUUCUCCCCAGGUGGCCUUUGUGGUGAGUUCAUAGCCCAUGCAGACUGUGUGCCCUCUCCCCCUUUGUA